rnacentral:rRNA from 1 species
GACGAACGCUGGCGGCGUGCUUAACACAUGCAAGUCGAACGGAAAGGCCCUGCUUUUGUGGUGUUCUCGAGUGGCGAACGGGUGCGUAACACGUGAGUAACCUGCCCUUGACUUUGGGAUAACUUCAGGAAACUGGGGCUAAUCCCGGAUAGGAGCUCCUGCUGCAUGGUGGGGGUUGGAACGUUUCGGCGGUUGGGGAUGGACUCGCGGCUUAUCAGCUUGUUGGUGGGGUAGUGGCUUACCAAGGCUUUGACGGGUAGCCGGCCUGAGAGGGUGACCGGCCACAUUGGGACUGAGAGACGGCGCAGAGUGCUACGGGGGGCAGCAGUGGGGAAUAUUGCACAAUGGGCGGAAGCCUGAUGCAGAAACGCCGCGGGCGGGAUGACGGCCUUCGGGUUGUAAACCGCUUUCGCCUGUGACGAAGCGGGAGUGACGGUAAUGGGUAAAGAAGCACCGGCUAACUACGUG